CAGUCGCCGCGGGAAUACAGAGGGUGCGAGCGUUAAUCGGAUUUACUGGGCGUAAAGCGUGCGUAGGCGGCUUCUUAAGUCGGAUGUGAAAUCCCUGAGCUUAACUUAGGAAUUGCAUUCGAUACUGGGAAGCUAGAGUAUGGGAGAGGAUGGUAGAAUUCCAGGUGUAGCGGUGAAAUGCGUAGAGAUCUGGAGGAAUACCGAUGGCGUAGGCAGCCAUCUGGCCUAAUACUGACGCUGAGGUACGAAAGCAUGGGGAGCAAACAGGAUUAGAUACCCCUGUAGUCCCUGUCUCUUAUAC
rnacentral:rRNA from 1 species